GGUGUCGUAGCUCAGUUGGAUAGAGCAAAUGUUUCCUAAACAUUAGGUCGUGAGUUCAAACCUCACCGAUACCA
rnacentral:tRNA from 1 species